rnacentral:tRNA from 1 species
GCCGUUGUAGCUCAGUUGGUAGAGCACCACCAUGGCAAGGUGGGGGUCUCGGGUUCGAAUCCCGACAACGGCU